GUUAAUCGGCAUUACUGGGCGUAAAGCGUGCGUAGGCGGCUCUUUAAGUCGGAUGUGAAAUCCCCGGGCUCAACCUGGGAACUGCAUCCGAUACUGGGGAGCUAGAAUUUGGGAGAGGGAAGUGGAAUUUCCGGUGUAGCGGUGAAAUGCAUAGAGAUCGGAAGGAACAUCAGUGGCGAAGGCGACUUCCUGGACCAAAAUUGACGCUGAGGCACGAAAGCGUGGGUAGCAAACAGGAUUAGAUACCCUGGUAGUCCACGCCGUAAACGAUGUCAACUAGCCGUCGGCUCCAACUAAGGGGUCGGUGGUGCAGCUAACGCAUUAAGUUGACCGCCUGGGGAGUACGCGCGCAAGCGUAAAACUCAAAGGAAUUGACGGGGCCGCACAAGCGGUGGAGCA
rnacentral:rRNA from 1 species